AGCCUCAGAUGUCUGACAUGGUGACUACAUUUGCUUCAGGAUUUACUGACGGAUCUGUGAUUUUUCCAAGGACGCUUUGCUGUGGGCUUUACAGUGAAAGGAUCCCUGGAAGAUGAUUCUAGUUGCUGGGCCAAGGAUGAAACCCUGUGUCCCCUGCAGUGGAAGCAUGGAGUCACAACCACUGGGCUGCCAGGGAAGUCCCUCACUGCUGUUUCUUGAAGAUCUUUUCCUUUUGGUUGCACAGAAACUCUGAUGUCCACGGGUCACUAAUCUGCUGCACAGACCAGGAGAUGCCAGGGCUGAAGACUGUGGCCUUAGAACCCUGCUUGGAGCCACAUUCCAGCGCAUGUGGGGGCUCUCUCCAGAGACACGGUCACUUGAGUAAGUUACUUCCAUAAAAUGCAUCCCUGACAAGCACAGCGAGAGGAUCCUGCUGCACCCUGUGAUGUCACAGUCAGGACGGUUAUGCCCUGGUGUUGUCUCACUGCACUGGAGCGCGGUGGAAGGAGGCAACAAUGAUGGGA